rnacentral:rRNA from 1 species
AUCGAACGCUGGCGGCAUGCCUUACACAUGCAAGUCGAACGGCAGCGUGGGCUUCGGCCUGGCGGCGAGUGGCGAACGGGUGAGUAAUGCAUCGGAACGGGCCCAGCAGCGGGGGAUAGCCCGGCGAAAGCCGGAUUAAUAUCGCAUACGACCUGAGGGUGAAACCGGGGGACCGAAAGGCCUCGCGCCUUUGGAGCGGCCGAUGUCGGAUUAGCUAGCUGGUGGGGUAAAGGCUCUACAAGGCCACGAUCCGUAGCUGGACUGAGGGGACGGCCAGCCACACUGGAACAGAGACACAGCCCAGACUCCUACGCGACGCAGCAGUGGGGAAUUUUGGACGAUGGGGGAGACCCUGAUCCAGCCAUGCCGCCUGCGGGAAGAAGGCCUUCGGGUUGUAAACCGCUUUUGUUCGGGGAAAACUCCUCUGGGCUAAUACCCCAGGAGGAUGACGGUACCGGGAGAAUAAGCACCGGCUAACUACGUG